rnacentral:rRNA from 1 species
CCAGACUCCUACGGGAGGCAGCAGUGGGGAAUAUUGCACAAUGGGGGAAACCCUGAUGCAGCAACGCCGCGUGAGUGAGGAAGUAUUUCGGUAUGUAAAGCCCUAUCAGCAGGGAAUAGAAAAGAAGGUACCUGAAAAAGAAGCCCGGGCUAACUACGUGCCAGCAGCCGCGGUAAUACGUAGGGGGCAAGCGUUAUCCGGAUUUACUGGGUGUAAAGGGAGCGUAGACGGAAAGGCAAGUCAGAAGUGAAAGCCCAAGGCUCAACCAUGGGACUGCUUUUGAAACUGUCAAACUAGGGUACGGGAGAGGUAAGAGGAAUUCCUAGUGUAGCGGUAAAAUGCGUAGAUAUUAGGAGGAACACCAGUGGCGAAGGCGUCUUACUGGACCGAAACUGACGUUGAGGCUCGAAAGCGUGGGGAGCAAACAGGAUUAGAUACCCCAGUAAUC